UAAAGUUUUCUUUAUUGGGGUUGCGGACAUAUCAUAACGGAGAGGUAUCGUAAUUGAAGAGGUUUGGAAAGACCCACCACAGAAGGUAAUAGUCCUGUAUGUUAAACGAGAAGACUUUAGAUAUGAUCCAGAGUACCACGGGACACGUGAAACCCUGUGGGAAGCAGGAGGGACCACCCUCCAAGGCUAAAUACUACCUAGUGACCGAUAGCGUAUAGUACCGUGAGGGAAAGGUGAAAAGAACCCCGGGAGGGGAGUGAAAUAGAACCUGAAACCCUGCACUUACAAGCUGUGGAAGCACAUUUCUUGUGUGACCGCGUACUUUUUGUAGAACGGGCCAACGAGUUACGUUAAGUAGCAAGGUUAAGCACUUAAGGUGUGGAGCCGUAGCGAAAGCGAGUUUUAACUGAGCGUUCAGUUACUUGACGUAGACCCGAAACCGGGCGACCUACCCAUGAGCAGGAUGAAGCGAAAGUAAAAUUUCGUGGAGGUCCGAACCCACGAGCGUUGAAAAGCUCGGGGAUGACUUGUGGGUAGCGGUGAAAUUCCAAUCGAGCCCGGAGAUAGCUGGUUCUCCCCGAAAUAGCUUUAGGGCUAGCCUCAAGGUGAGAGAUACGGAGGUAGAGCACUGAAUGUCCUAGGGGGUAUUGCACCUACCGAAGACUAUCAAACUCCGAAUGCCGUCAUCUUAUACUUGGGAGUCAGACUGUGGGUGAUAAGAUUCAUAGUCGAAAGGGCAACAGCCCAGAUCGUCAGCUAAGGUCCCUAAAUGUAAGUUAAGUGGUAAAGGAUGUGGGAUUGCACAGACAACCAGGAUGUUGGCUUAGAAGCAGCCACUCAUUCAAAGAGUGCGUAAUAGCUCACUGGUCGAGUGAUCCUGCGCCGAAGAUUUCCGGGGCUAAAACUUACUACCGAAGCUACGGCAUCAGUAAUGAUGGGUAGGGGAGCUUCCCAUACGGGUUGAAGCAUGACCGUAAGGACAUGUGGACAGUAUGGGAGUGAGAAUGUUGGCAUGAGUAGCGAGAUGUGGGUGAGAAUCCCACAGGCCGUAAACCCAAGGUUUCCAGGGGAAGGUUCGUCCGCCCUGGGUUAGUCGGGACCUAAGCUGAGGCCGAAAGGCGUAGGUGAUGGACAACAGGUUGAUAUUCCUGUACUACCGAUAACCGUUUGAGAGAAGGGAUGACACAGUAGGAUAAGCUAAGCACACUGUUGGUUAUGUGUGCCCAAGCAUUGAGGCAGUCAAAGUAGGCAAAUCCGCUUUGAUAAUGCUGGGAUGUGAUGGGGAGCGAAAUUUAGUAGCGAAGUAGCUGAUUUCACACUGUCAAGAAAAGUCUCUAUCGAGGUUAAAGGUACCCGUACCGCAAACCGACACAGGUGGGUGAGGAGAGUAUCCUAAGGCCAGCGAGAGAACUGUUGUUAAGGAACUCGGCAAAAUGACCCCGUAACUUAGGGAUAAGGGGUGCCACCAUUAGGUGGCCGCAGAGAAUAGGCCCAAGCGACUGUUUACCAAAAACAUAGGUUUCUGCUAAGUCGCAAGACGAUGUAUAGGAGCUGACGCCUGCCCGGUGCUGGAAGGUUAAGGGGAUCUGUUAGAG
rnacentral:rRNA from 1 species